rnacentral:rRNA from 1 species
UGAACGCUAGCGACAGGCCGUAACACAUGCAAGUCAGGGGCAGCACAAGGAGCAAUCUGAGGUGGCGACCGGCGCACGGGUGAGUAACACGUAUGCAACCUGCCUGUAAGCGGGGAAUAACCCGUUGAAAGACGGACUAAUACCGCAUAAUACUAAAUUACUGCAUGGUAAUUUAUUUAAACAUUUAUGGCUUACAGAUGGGCAUGCGCAUGAUUAGCUAGUUGGAGAGGUAACGGCUCCCCAAGGCAACGAUCAUUAGGGGUUCUGAGAGGAAGGUCCCCCACACUGGUACUGAGACACGGACCAGACUCCUACGGGAGGCAGCAGUGAGGAAUAUUGGUCAAUGGACGAGAGUCUGAACCAGCCAAGUCGCGUGCAGGAAGAAUGUUCCCUAUGGAUUGUAAACUGCUUUUGCAGGGGAAUAAAGUGCAUCACGUGUGAUGUUUUGUAUGUACUCUGCGAAUAAGGAUCGGCUAACUCCGUGCCAGCCGCUGC